rnacentral:rRNA from 1 species
AUGGCCGACGCCGCCGCGCACGCCCCUGACGAGUUCAGCAAGUGGUGGGAGACCUUCAACAAUGGCGGCGCCGCGGAAGAUGAGCCGAUGGUGGACUCCGACUCCGAUUUCGAGCAAGGGGAGCAGGGCGCGGGGGAGGAGAAUGCGGAUGUGGUGGCGGGCGAGUGCGAACGGGAGGUGGAGCCGGAGGCCCUCGCCCCCGCCGGGAGGGAGGGCGGCAGCCGCGCCGCCCGCGAUUGCGACGAGAAGGAGAUUUCUGAGGAUGGCCAUUUUCAGCUUGAAGGCGUGCUGCAGGGAAUGAAGAGCGAAGCUGCCGCCGGACGAAAUGCACCACAGGUUCCCGCAGCUGAGACCCAGAACGAAGAAGGUCAAGAGGAGUACGUUUCUGAGGAUAACUACGUUGGAGGUGGGUUCCGAGGAAAGAAGAGGAAAGCAACCGUAACAGCUGGCAAACUGCAGACUGUUGGAUCUGGGAUCCCGAACAAAAAUGCUCAUGUUGCGGAGGAGAUUUCUGAGGAUAGCCAUUUUCAGCGUGAAGAUGUGCUGCAGGGAAGGAACGGAGAAGCAGCCGCCAAACUAAAUACACUGCGGGCUUCUGGAGAUGAGAUCCAGAACGAAAAAGAUCAAGAGGGGUAUGUUUCUGAGGACAAGGUUGGAGGCGGGCAGCAAGGAAGGAAGAGGAAAACAACAGUGGUGCCCAACAAACAGCAAAUGACUGGAAUUAAGAUCCGGAAGAAAAAUGCUUAUGGUGAGUGUCUGAGAGUGCAGAAUCAGAUGCUGAGGCUGCAGCUUGUUCGCAAGACGAAAGAGCUUGAGGCUGAACAGAUUCGGAGACUCGAGCUGGAAUUGCAUUUUAUGAAAAAGGAGAACGAAUUUCUGAAGAAGCAGCUUGAAGAGUUCAAAGCUGAGAAUGAGUACUAUAAGAAGACCGCAAAGCCACAAAAAACCCGAAGGCUGUGCGGGUUCUGUAAGGAAUAUGUCGACCACGACUUCCGCAACUGCCCCGAGAGACGCGCUUCCGCUUGUUCUGAAGAAGACGACGGCUCCAUCUAA